rnacentral:tRNA from 1 species
GCAACCGUGGUGCAGUGGUUUAGCAUUCCAGCCUCCCAUACCUAGGGAACCAGCUGGGGACCUGGGUUCGAACCCCGGCGGUUGCA